UUCUAUCAAAUUCUAACAAGAUUAGUUGGAAUGAUUACUGUGUUGUGUUGCAAGCUUAGUUAAUUAGUCACAUCUCUACAAUAACUGCUGCUUAUCUGGUCGGUUACCGAUAGCUUGUACCAUAGCCAUUAUAUUUGUAGGACCAAUACAAUUUACAGUAAAUGUAACAGUCUUUUCUAUACUGUAGGGAGCCACAUCCCAGUUGCCCACAUGCAAGGAGGCUGUCAAACAGAGAAAUCACUGCAGACUGUUGGUACACGGACAUCUGCUGCCCAGCUCAGGAGUGAAGUACCUUUUGUUUCGAUGAGGUGAUGGUGAGGACAGCCACAGCUUCCAUCUGGUAGAGGACUGCUUCCGCUCAGUCUUCCAAAUAGUGAUGAGAACAAGGAUCACCACAUCUCCCUGUUUACCCUACUUUCAUACAUUUCGUCUGCAGGGCCCUGCAAAAGCUUCUGACCUCAAACCCCCAGACUUCUUAAUUAACUCAGUAACCUAUACAUUGCACAUUGGAGUGUGAAGGUAACAGUUUGUUCUAGCUUUGGAGUAGUGGUGUAUUUUUUUGGUUUACAAUAAAGUUGGCUUUAACUAUUAUGUAUUUCACUGAACUCUGUUUCUGAAGGGAAAACACUUUUAUUCAGGAAAUCAUAGUAUUGAAAUUACAUGUUUUUUCUAUUUCUAAUAUGGUAAGCUAUAAAGUUGAAGCGGCCAUAAAUAAAAAGCAUAUAAAUUAUAUAUAAAUAAAAAAUAAAAAAAUUCUUUGAGUAUUGCACUCACAAAAAACACA